rnacentral:lncRNA from 1 species
GCAUUCGUGUGUGUGACUUAGUAGUCCUGACGAGAGUUGGGCAGGUAGCUCGCUAACCCUUAGUAUACGCCCUAGGGGAAGGUGGGGCUGUCAUAGACUCACUAUAACAAAACAUUUCUAAUUUUUUAAUAUUUACAGCUUUUACUUAAUGAUAAAGACCCAGUGCUCUUCACACCUCCAUGGCUUGUUGUUCUUUGAUAAUAAGGUUGUGAGGACCGAAAAUUCCUUUAGAAUUUCCUCCCUUUUUUUGAAAAAUUAAUUUAUAUUUUCUUCUAUGUUUCUUUACUUGAUUAUUUAACUACUUACUAGCCCUAAAUUUCAUGGUGAUUUCAUUAGUUGAGCCAAGAGUUUUACUUUUACUUUUCAAGUUAGAGUAAGUUAGGGUUUUGGUGUAUCUUGGUAGCCUGAUUAAUUAGUGAGGUGUGUGUAUUAAAUUUGGUGGUUAAGAGUGAGUUUUAUAUAUGACGAAGUGUUAAUUAGAAGUGCAAUUAAUAAGUUAAUGAAUCAUAAGUUAACACACUAGUACGCGCGAGUUAAGGAAAAUCAACUUGAACCGACGUGCACUAUUUGCUACCGAUUAAGUACACCACCACAUGACCAAUACUUUCUUACCCUAAUCUCCUUGUUUUUAUUUCAUUUAAUUUCCCCUAAAUUAACCCUUAAGUCAGCCGCCAUUUUUGACCAAAGAAAAGGAAGAAAAGAAAAAAAAAAGAAACCAUCUUGUAGUGCCAAGUGUCGGAAAUCCAAGGAACUUUGACCAAGUUUAUUUCUUUCCUUC